rnacentral:rRNA from 1 species
AGAGUUUGAUCCUGGCUCAGAAUCAACGCUGGCGGCGCGCUUAACACAUGCAAGUCGCACGAGAAAGGGAGCAAUCCUGAGUAAAGUGGCGUACGGGUGAGUAACACGUGGAUUAUCUACCUUCUAGUGGGGAAUACCUCUGGGAAACCGGAGACAAUACCGCAUAAGCUCGUGAGAGGAAAGCAGCAAUGCGCUGGAAGAGGAGUCCGCGGCUGAUUAGCUAGUUGGCGGGGUAACGGCCCACCAAGGCGAAGAUCGGUAGCCGGCCUGAGAGGGCACACGGCCACACUGGCACUGAAAUACGGGCCAGACUCCUACGGGAGGCAGCAGUGGGGAAUCUUGCACAAUGGAGGAAACUCUGAUGCAGCGACGCCGCGUGAGCGAUGAAGCCCUUCGGGGUGUAAAGCUCUUUCGACGGGAACGAUAAUGACGGUACCCGGAGAAGAAGCUGCGGCUAACUACGUGCCAGCAGCCGCGGUAAUACGUAGGCAGCAAGCGUUGUUCGGAAUUACUGGGCGUAAAGAGUGUGUAGGUGGUGUUCUAAGUUUGUCGUGAAUCUCCCGGCUUAACUGGGAGGGUGCGGCGAAAACUGGGAUGCUUGAGGAUGGGAGAGAAAGCGGAAUUCCUGGUGUAGCGGUGAAAUGCGUAGAUAUCAGGAGGAACACCCGGUGUAGACAGCUUUCUGGACCAUUUCUGACACUGAGACACGAAAGCGUGGGUAGCAAACAGGAUUAGAUACCCCAGUAGUCC